GCUGGGCAUGGUGGCGGGUGCCUGUAAUCCCAGCUACUUGGGAGGCUGAGGCAGGAGAAUCGCUUGAACCUGGGAGGCGGAGGUUGCAGUGAGCCUGCACUUCAGCCUGGGUGACAGAGUGAGAUUCUGUCUCAA
rfam:Pan troglodytes isolate Yerkes chimp pedigree #C0471 (Clint) chromosome 9, whole genome shotgun sequence.